rnacentral:rRNA from 1 species
UACGUAGGGGGCAAGCGUUGUCCGGAAUCAUUGGGCGUAAAGAGCGUGUAGGCGGCUCGAUAAGUCUGCUGUGAAAGUCCAGGGCUCAACCCUGGAAGGCCGGUGGAAACUGUCGGGCUAGAGUCCGGAAGAGGCGAGUGGAAUUCCCGGUGUAGCGGUGAAAUGCGCAGAUAUCUGGAGGAACACCGGUGGCGAAGGCGGCAUCCUGGACCGGCAUUGACGCUGAGGCGCGAAAGCCAGGGGAGCAAAGCGGG